rnacentral:lncRNA from 1 species
CUUGUUUCAUGCUUGCUUACAUUAUUCAGAAGCAUUUUGCAUCUUCACCUGAAUUGGCUGAAGAGGCAUUGUCCAGCCAUCUGUAAAGGCAAGAGUGACAGCUUAUACCACUGAUUUUAAGAGUAGGGGAAGAUGAACAGACACAUAGAGAUGGAUGGGUGAAGUGAAGUAGAAUAUUACUGAAUAAUCUUCAACCUUGAAUGAGGAAAAUGAGAUACAGGAUGCCUAAUGUUUCAUUGACAUCCAUGAAAAAAGACAUGAAAACAUCCAAAUCUCCCUCAGUGGAAGAAAGUUAAGGGGACCACAUGCAAAACCACAGCUCCACUGAGCAUGGUGACCCUGGCAGGACAACAGGGAUCCCAUCCGUGCACCUGUCCUUGUGUGGCCAGAGGGAGAGGCUGUGCCUGGUGCAUCAAGAAGAAAAUCAUGUUUGGAACUACAUGUUAUACAUUAAAUGUGACACAAGAGAGAUGAAUUAUGCAGUAAAUUCUGUGUGUGCUGAUCAGCACAAAGCCCAAGACACAUUCAGCAGAGUUGCUGUGAAGAUCUGUAAUGAGUUUCAAGUACAUCAUUUCCUGAUGGAGGGAAGCUAUUCCAUAAUGAGUUUGAUAUGA